GAUGAACGCUGGCGGCGUGCUUAACACAUGCAAGUCGAACGAUAAAGCCCAGCUUGCUGGGUGGAUUAGUGGCGAACGGGUGAGUAACACGUGAGUAACCUGCCCUUAACUCUGGGAUAAGCCUGGGAAACUGGGUCUAAUACCGGAUAGGAGCGUCCACCGCAUGGUGGGUGUUGGAAAGAUUUAUCGGUUUUGGAUGGACUCGCGGCCUAUCAGCUUGUUGGUGAGGUAAUGGCUCACCAAGGCGACGACGGGUAGCCGGCCUGAGAGGGUGACCGGCCACACUGGGACUGAGACACGGCCCAGACUCCUACGGGAGGCAGCAGUGGGGAAUAUUGCACAAUGGGCGCAAGCCUGAUGCAGCGACGCCGCGUGAGGGAUGACGGCCUUCGGGUUGUAAACCUCUUUCAGUAGGGAAGAAGCGAAAGUGACGGUACCUGCAGAAGAAGCACCGGCUAACUACGUG
rnacentral:rRNA from 1 species